GUGCUUACUUUGGCAGCACAUAUACUAAAAAUUGGAAUGAUACAGAGAAAAUUAACAUGGAACCUGCACAAGGAUGACACACAAAUUCAUGAAGCAUUCCAUAUUUUU
ensembl:snRNA U6 U6 spliceosomal RNA